CCUCCAGAGCCAAGGAGCUGAACCCUCCCAGGAGGGAGACGGCGGAGGCCUGUGGACGGUGACUCUCCUUGCGUUGUCUUGGUGAUUCCACGUAGAUCACAAGUAGGCAGAGAGGC